GGGGCUAUAGCUCAGCUGGGAGAGCGCUUUGCUGGCAGCGAAGAGGUCAUCGGUUCGAUCCCGUUUAGCUCCACCA
rnacentral:tRNA from 1 species